rnacentral:rRNA from 1 species
AGAGUUUGAUUAUGGCUCAGGAUGAACGCUGGCGGCGUGCUUAACACAUGCAAGUCGAACGGAGUGUAAACGCUGAAGCGAUUUCGGUCAAUUCUUGUUUAUACUUAGUGGCGGACGGGUGAGUAAUGCGUGGGUAACCUGCCGUAUGCAGGGGGACAACAGUUGGAAACGACUGCUAAUACCGCAUAAGCGCACAGUACCGCAUGGUAUAGUGUGAAAAGAUCUAUCGGCAUACGAUGGACCCGCGUCUGAUUAGCUAGUUGGUGAGGUAACGGCCCACCCAAGGCGACGAUCAGUAGCCGGCCUGAGAGGGUGAACGGCCACAUUGGGACUGAGACACGGCCCAAACUCCUACGGGAGGCAGCAGUGGGGAAUAUUGGACAAUGGGGGAAACCCUGAUCCCAGCGACGCCGCGUGAGUGAAGAAGUAUUUCGGUAUGUAAAGCUCUAUCAGCAAGGAAGAAAAUGACGGUACUUGACUAAGAAGCUCCGGCUAAAUACGUGCCAGCCGCCGC